rnacentral:rRNA from 1 species
UUGGUCAAUGGCCGAAAGGCUGAACCAGUAACUCCCAAGAAUGUAAGUUAGUAGAAAUACUAUUACGAUUAAUUCGUAUAAAAUUCUAAAUAGAAUAAUGAUAAUGACAAUUUUCUAUUUAUAAGUCUUGACCAAACUACGUGCCAGCAGUCGCGGUAAUACGUAGGAGACUAGUGUUAAUCAUCUUUAUUAGGUUUAAAGGGUACCUAGACGGUUUACUAGACUCUAAAGGAGUACAAUAAACUAGAGUUUUAUGGAAGAAGGAUGAAUUUUUGGAGUAGUGAUUGAAUAUGAUGAUACCAGAAAGACAGGUAACGGCGAAGGCAACCUUCUAUGUAAAAACUGACGUUGAGGGACGAAGGCUUGGGUAGCAAUAAGGAUUAGAUACCCUAGUAGCCCAAGCAGACAAUGAUGAAUGUCAUAGACUAGAGAUAUAUUUAGUCUAUAAAUGAAAGUGUAAGCAUUCCACCUCAAGAGUAAUAUGGCAACAUAUAAACUGCCCUCCUUCCCCGUUUCUGAGACCAGUAGUGAAGUAU